rnacentral:rRNA from 1 species
UUUACAACUCCCAAACCCAAUGUGAACGUUACCAAACUGUUGCCUCGGCGGGGUCACGCCCCGGGUGCGUCGCAGCCCCGGAACCAGGCGCCCGCCGGAGGAACCAACCAAACUCUUUCUGUAGUCCCCUCGCGGACGUAUUUCUUACAGCUCUGAGCAAAAAUUCAAAAUGAAUCAAAACUUUCAACAACGGAUCUCUUGGUUCUGGCAUCGAUGAAGAACGCAGCGAAAUGCGAUAAGUAAUGUGAAUUGCAGAAUUCAGUGAAUCAUCGAAUCUUUGAACGCACAUUGCGCCCGCCAGUAUUCUGGCGGGCAUGCCUGUCCGAGCGUCAUUUCAACCCUCGAACCCCUCCGGGGGAUCGGCGUUGGGGAUCGGGACCCCUCACACGGGUGCCGGCCCCUAAAUACAGUGGCGGUCUCGCCGCAGCCUCUCCUGCGCAGUAGUUUGCACAACUCGCACCGGGAGCGCGGCGCGUCCACGUCCGUAAAACACCCAACUUUCUGAAAUGUUGAGGACCUCGGAUCAGGUAGGAAUACCCGCUGAAGCUAAGUC